CUUACUACCCAAGGAGAAAGAGGAGGAUAGGAACGAUGACAAAAAGGAGGAUAGGAACGAGGACAGAGACUAUGAGAAGAAUGAGGAGAAAGAUGAUGAGAAGAAUGAGGAGAAAGACGAUGAGAAGACUGAGGAGAAAGACGAUGGGAAGACCGAGGAGAAAGGUGAUGGGAAGGCUGAGGAGGAAGAUGAGAAUAUACAGGAGAAAGCAAUUAUAUCUGUAAGUGCAAAACUGCUGGAAUGAUAUCAUGUUUUCUUAUAAAAAAUGCUGCUCCUCAAAUCUGUUUCUCGCAGGGCAUGCAUGGCAACUUGAAUAUGAGGCCUAUUAAUUUUUUCGGACAAUCUACCCAUAUUAUCCACCAGAUAAAUGAUGGCCCAUGCGCCCUAAUUGCCGUCUGCAAUAUUCUACUGCUCAAGGGGGACAUCUUUUUUGAACGAGAUGAAACUGUGGUUUCAAUGGAUUAUCUACUUAAUCUUGUCUUCACUCUUAUUAGAGAAAGUGCUAAAAUGCAGGCCUAUUCUCCUGAAAUACGAAGACAGAUAUGGGAUGUGGCACCAAAAUUGGCCGAAGGGUUUGACAUGAAUGUUGUCUUCAACAGAACAGAUGGGUUUACGGUGACACCAGAAUGGUUGCUUCUGGAUUGCUUGGAUCUCAAUAUUCGGCAUGGUUGGAUUCCCAAUGUGGAUUUGUUGCCCGGACCCGAAGUACCCGAAGUAUCAUAUGAAAGACUUACUCCGAAAUCUCUUGAACCUGAUUGUCCAGAUGGUUAGUUUUAUUUUUCAGCUACACCUUGUUUGCACAACCUUUUUCAUCGCUCUUAUUGCUUUUGUUCAAUGUUUUUAGCGGAGACGAUCAAGAACUUUUUAAAUGGACAUCAACUUACUCUCAUUGGAUUGGUUUCCCUACUGGAAGACCUUGGUGAGAAAAUUCCAUGCAUUCUGUAUUGCCACUAUCAUUACAGUACUAUAGCUAAGGUCAAUGGAGUAAUAUAUUCUUUAGUCACUAAUAUAAAUUAUUUGAGAACUCGGGCAGUUUGGCAGAUGCUUCAGGUCAACGGUGGUGGAGUAUAUUUGGACAGCAAGUUUAGACCAAUUUAUAUGUGGCUUAUACAGCUCCUUCGGUAUGGAAAAAAAAUAAAUCAUUUACUAUGUUUGCAAAAUCAAAUGUAUCUGUGCCUGCUAUGCUUUGUUGUCAUCGUGUCAUCUUUUCCUUUUUCAUUUCUAUUUCUAUCUGUGAUAUAUGUAGGCACAUCCAAAUGCAAUUUACUCUCCCCAUAUGCAUGAAAUUUUAUCUCCCUUGCAAGUCGUGUUGCUUUUGUUCUUGUUUCAAAAUUCUUUUG